UCUCAGUGUGUAACACAGACACUGCUCAGUGCUACGCGGGUAUUGUCAUCCCGGGCCACAACCGGGGAGCUCGCUCAGUUAGGUGUGAAGUAGGGGUUGCUGGCUAGGGAAGUUCUGCGCAUGCGCAGCUCCAUGUCCCGUGAGCAUUCGGGAGAGGUCAUGCGUGAUCUCCUUCUACAGAGCUCCCGAAGAGAGGAAAAGGAAGAGUAGGCUGCUGCUGAAAAGGCUGCCACCAAGGAGGAAUUCCAGAGUGAAUGGACCCCUCCGGCUCCCAAGUUCACUGCUUCUUAACCUGAGGUCGCAGCCGGGUCAGGUGGCACGUAGGUGCCCUCUGUGUCUAUUCAGCGGUUGCCUCCUGCGGACCGGAUGGAGCCUCAGCCUGUCACUGAGGACUGGUCUGCAGCUCCUACUGCUCGGGCCUUUCUGGAGUAAAUGAACAUUUAGACAUGGCGAAGCAACUGUAUUUGAAGAAAAGAAGAAAAGUGAAGGCAAUACUUGGCAUAAGGAGAGGAAGAAUGAGAAGGAUGUCCAAAGAAGGAGCCAGAAAGGAAAGAGGAGAAGAAAGGCAAGGUAGGAAAGAGAAAAUGUGGUAGGGAAAGAGAGAAGAGACAAAAACGAGAGAGAAGAAAAGCUGGGCAAGAAAGAAACGUGUAGGAAAAAUACACAGGGCAACUGAAAUCUUUUUAUAGGUGAUGAGAAAAGAUGAAGAAUUUUUCAGAUAUCCAAAACUGAAAUAGCACCUCUUCAUGCAAAGUAAAUCAUCAGAAAUUGUUUAUUUAUGGUUAUUUCUAUUAUUUGUGCUUAAUUCCUAUUAAGAUGAAUCCUGCUGUUUGAGUUUCUUUUGCUUUUAUGGAGCAGAUCAGUCAGCAGAUCGAUUUCCCAAAUACAGUCGAUGUACCACUGCCCUUACUAGACUCAUUUAGGCUCAUAGUCGUCUCUAGCCCACCGCUGCAUUGCUGAAGCUUCCAAGUGGUCCUCGGUCCUGGUGGAACAGCAAUCAAUUUCUCACUCCUGCCAAAAUGUUUACUAUGCUAUUUAAAUUCUUACUUUAAAUAAGACAAAUUAAUAAAUGUGUUGAGCGACCUGGUCA
rnacentral:lncRNA from 1 species